AGAAUCAACGCUGGCGGCGUGCCUAACACAUGCAAGUCGCACGAGAAAGGGGAGCAAUCCCUGAGUAAAGUGGCGCACGGGUGAGUAACACGUGAAUCAUCUACCUCCGAGUGGGGAAUAACCUAGAGAAAUCUGGGCUAAUACCGCAUAACACUUACGAGUCAAAGCAGCAAUGCGCUUGGAGAGGAGUUCGCGGCAGAUUAGCUAGUUGGCGGGGUAAUGACCCACCAAGGCGAUGAUCUGUAUCCGACCUGAGAGGGCGCACGGACACACUGGAACUGAAACACGGUCCAGACUCCUACGGGAGGCAGCAGUGGGGAAUUUUGCGCAAUGGGGGAAACCCUGACGCAGCAACGCCGCGUGGAGGAUGACGCCCCUUGGGUGUAAACUCCUUUCGAUCGGGAAGAUAAUGACGGUACCGAUAUAAGAAGCCCGGCUAACUUCGCGCCAGCAGCCGC
rnacentral:rRNA from 1 species